AACAUUGUCUUCAGGGUUUACAGUGUCUAGCCUUUUGGAUAUCCGUGAGCAAAAUAUCUAAAAAGUAAAUUAGUGGGUAUUACUAGAAAAUCCAUUACUGUUAUUCAACUGUCAAGUAACCUCAUUAUGAGGAAUGUUCCUCAUUUUGACUGGUAAAAAGUCCAACAUGCUCCUCACUAUUCUACAUUUGAGGGGCAUACCACACAUUCAGUGUUGAUAAUUUAACGUCACGGACAAUAUCGAGCUAUGCUCAGGAAUAAUGAUUUUUUUUUUUUUACCUUUAAUAGUAUUUGGUACCAGUAAUCGCGGCGGUACAGCGAUAGCGUCCUCACAGAAAGAGGUUUUCCCGUUGGAUUCUCGGCUGUAGCGCCUUCUGUGCGGAGUCUGCAUGUCCUCCCCGCGGUCGAGUGGCCUUCGAAAGACAUGCGUGAAUGGGCAUGCCUUCGUUAAAGGUAGGCCGUCGAGCUGGCUGGCACAUCGGAACCGUAAAAAUCUACUGCUAAUCAUUGGCGGACUGGCGUUCCGCUGUGGCUAACCGGGAAAAGCCGAAAGAAGAACAACAAUAAUAUUUAGUACCAGUAACAGUUUUGACUUGAAAACCACGUCACUCUGUAUUCUGGAUUUGUACUUCAACUCGCGGUCCAGUAUUUUCCAUUGUCGCCCCCAACUUAUGCUUUUUAAAGAGCUUAUAAUCAUGCCUUUCAGCUGUCUUGAUUUUUGCCACAUAUUUUUGUUUUGUUCCUCAUAAAAUCUGUGGUUUUCUAGCGAGUCACCGGGGAUUGAAGUUAUUGAAUAUUGCCAUACGUUUGAGUUUCAGACUUCAAGUCUUUAAGAAAUAAAAUGCACGCAAACCCAAAUCCUGAUACUUGAGCAACUUUCUAAGUUUAUAAAGGUGAUAUUUAAAAGUCUGAAAAACAUUUUGGGCCUUUGUCCAUAUUUCCCGCAGUAAGAGGUUGAAUGUGUGUCGUGUGGAUGAAUCUACCGCAGCAGGGCUAGCCUCCCGGCAGUGUAAACCUUGGCUCGAUUGUCACUGACACCCCAACCACAUGUGCAAAAAUGAGGGAAAAGGCCAGGAGUUGUGAAUCGAUGAGUUCUCAUAUCUAUGGCCAAUUUAGAGUGACCAAACCACCUACUGCAUGUCUUUGGAAUGCGAGAGGAAAUAAGAACCCAGCCCCCAGAAGGAAACUCGCGAGCACCAAGAGGACAUGCAGACGCCGCACAGAAGGAGCCCCAUCCGAGAUUCAAACCGAGGAACCUCUUGCUUUAUGAAAUACUUUUGAGAAGCCGGCCUUGACAGAAAUAGUCUCAAUUUACCAAUCUCUGAACGAAGCGGGAGAAACCAUGCGACUAGAUGUACAGCAGAUAAAAGUACUCUACGAGAUCUCCCAACAGACUGUUACAGAAUGAUUUUCUGAGUUGUCAAUUGGUGUUGGUGCUCUCACAGUCAGAAUUUUCUGCAGCAGAAACCUGUGUGUGGAAAGUAAGGAAUUAGCUCAAGAAAGGACUUGGAACCUGAGUACUUACCACAAGAUAUGUGCAGCUAAAUAUACAGCACUGGGAAAAAUUCUGAAAAUACAAAGUAGUAGUACUUUUUUGGAAGACUCUGUCACAAAAAGGAAAAAAGUACAGGUAUUCUUGGAGUGAAUUACCAUCCUUCAGUACAAAGACCCGAGAACAUUUGGCAUAUGGUGCUUAAUGGGAAGCUGUUGAAGAUAUGGACAUAAAGAAUGAAAAUAUGGGUGAGUUGAAAAAAUAUUUGUCGACCCAUGGUGAACAUCUUCAGGAGGUGCCACCUCAUAGUACUAAUCGAGCCAUGUUGGUACAACAAUGCAUACAAUACUUGAGAAGAAUAAAACAUUGUGUUCAUUUAAUUAAAGAUGAAAAUGUCCUCAGGGAAUUGAAUAAUAAACUUAAGGAACUGUCAGAUGAUGUAAUACUACGUGUGUGCUUGGAUCAUGGCUUACCACUGAUUGAGCUGCAACCAGAUGGAGAAGUACACCCCCUUUCACGAAGAAAGCAUGGUAAGAGGAAACAUCCAGAAACACUGAGGGCUUAUGUGAAAGCAGACUUUGUGAGCGUGAUGCCUGGCACAGUAUUGCAGAACCAUCUGAAGAACAGUGAGAGAUUGAUGCAGUCAUGUGAUCAAGCUCGUAUACAAAGAAAUAAAAUGACAUGCAGUAGCAAGAUGAUGUCAAUAUAUGUCAGCAUUUCACAGAAGCAUUCUUGUGAUGGUCGUCUCUUAGAGUCAGUCAUUUCUGUUCAUAAUUUUGGGACCAUAUUAUUUACAUUCAUCACGAAUGAACACAAGCUGGGUUGCAUCACACAAGUCUGGAGUGUGUUCUAUAACUUUCUGAAUGUGCUUCAUAACAACUAAAAAUGUGUAUCUUUUAUACUUUUAUAGACACACACACACACACACACACACACACA